GCCUGGGUGGCUCAGUUGUUAAGCAUCUGACUUUCACUCAGGUCACGAUCUCACAGUUCGUGAGUUCAAGUCCCACAUCAGAUG
rnacentral:tRNA from 1 species